AUUGCUUCUCGGCCUUUUGGUUAAGAUCAAGGGUAGUACGUGUUCUUAUCAGUUUAAUUUCUGAUAGGUUCUCUAUCUGAAGACAUUAUAUUAAAUGGAUUUUUGGAGCUGGGAGAUGGAGUAGGAGCUUGCUCUGUCUACUCCAAGCAUCGACCCAGUACUGCUAUACUUCCAGGAAUGGUACACACACA